GAUGAACGCUGGCGGCGUGCCUAAUACAUGCAAGUCGAGCGAACAGACGAGGAGCUUGCUCCUCUGACGUUAGCGGCGGACGGGUGAGUAACACGUGGAUAACCUACCUAUAAGACUGGGAUAACUUCGGGAAACCGGAGCUAAUACCGGAUAAUAUAUUGAACCGCAUGGUUCAAUAGUGAAAGACGGUUUUGCUGUCACUUAUAGAUGGAUCCGCGCCGCAUUAGCUAGUUGGUAAGGUAACGGCUUACCAAGGCGACGAUGCGUAGCCGACCUGAGAGGUUGAUCGGCCACACUGGAACUGAGACACGGUCCAGACUCCUACGGGAGGCAGCAGUAGGGAAUCUUCCGCAAUGGGCAAAAGCCUGACGGAGCAACGCCGCGUGAGUGAUGAAGGUCUUCGGAUCGUAAAACUCUGUUAUUAGGGAAGAACAAAUGUGUAAGUAACUAUGCACGUCUUGACGGUACCUAAUCAGAAAGCCACGGCUAACUACGUG
rnacentral:rRNA from 1 species